rnacentral:rRNA from 1 species
UACAGAGGUCUCAAGCGUUGUUCGGAUUCAUUGGGCGUAAAGCGCACGUAGGCGGCUUCUUAAGUCAGGGGUGAAAUCCUGGAGCUCAACUCCAGAACUGCCUUUGAUACUGAGGAGCUCGAGUCCGGAAGAGGUGAGUGGAACUGCGAGUGUAGAGGUGAAAUUCGUAGAUAUUCGCAAGAACACCAGUGGCGAAGGCGGCUCACUGGUCCGGUACUGACGCUGAGGUGCGAAAGCGUGGGGAGCAAACAGG